rnacentral:rRNA from 1 species
AUUGAACGCUGGCGGCAGGCCUAACACAUGCAAGUCGAGCGGAUGAAGGGAGCUUGCUCCUGGAUUCAGCGGCGGACGGGUGAGUAAUGCCUAGGAAUCUGCCUGGUAGUGGGGAUAACGUCCGGAAACGGGCGCUAAUACCGCAUACGUCCUGAGGGAGAAAGUGGGGGAUCUUCGGACCUCACGCUAUCAGAUGAGCCUAGGUCGGAUUAGCUAGUUGGUGGGGUAAAGGCCUACCAAGGCGACGAUCCGUAACUAGUCUGAGAGGAUGAUCAGUCACACUGGAACUGAGACACGGUCCAGACUCCUACGGGAGGCAGCAGUGGGGAAUAUUGGACAAUGGGCGAAAGCCUGAUCCAGCCAUGCCGCGUGUGUGAAGAAGGUCUUCGGAUUGUAAAGCACUUUAAGUUGGGAGGAAGGGCAGUAAGUUAAUACCUUGCUGUUUUGACGUUACCAACAGAAUAAGCACCGGCUAACUUCGUG